UAGGGAAUCUUCCACAAUGGACGCAAGUCUGAUGGAGCAACGCCGCGUGAGUGAAGAAGGUCUUCGGAUCGUAAAACUCUGUCGUUAGAGAAGAACACGAGUGAGAGUAACUGUUCAUUCGAUGACGGUAUCUAACCAGCAAGUCACGGCUAACUACGUGCCGG
rnacentral:rRNA from 1 species